rnacentral:rRNA from 1 species
UACGUAGGGUGCAAGCGUUGUCCGGAAUUAUUGGGCGCAAAGAGCUCGUAGGCGGUCUGUCGCGUCUGCUGUGAAAACUCAGGGCUUAACCCUGAGCUUGCAGUGGGUACGGGCAGACUAGAGUGCGGUAGGGGAGACUGGAAUUCCUGGUGUAGCGGUGAAAUGCGCAGAUAUCAGGAGGAACACCGGUGGCGAAGGCGGGUCUCUGGGCCGUAACUGACGCUGAGGAGCGAAAGCAUGGGGAGCGAACAGG